AUUGAACGCUGGCGGCAGGCCUAACACAUGCAAGUCGCGCGGAGAGGCGGACGGGUGAGUAAGGACUAGGAAUAUGCAUGGUAGUGGGGGAAAACGUCCGGAAAGGGGCGCUAAUACCGCAUAAUAUCAGAUGAGCCUAGGUCGGAUUAGCUCGUUGGUGGGGUAAAGGCAUACCAAGGCGAAGAUCCGUAACUGGUCUGAGAGGAUGAUCAGUCACACUGGUACUGAGACACGGUCCAGACUCCUACGGUAGGCAGCAGUGGGGAAGAUUGGACAAUGGGCGAAAGCCUGAUCCAGCCAUGCCGCGUGUGUGAAGAAGGUCUUCGGAUUGUAAAGCACUUUAAGUUGGGAGGCGUUACCAACAGAAUAAGCACCGGCUAACUUCGUGCCAGCAGCCGCGGUAAUUC
rnacentral:rRNA from 1 species